CCCCUUUUGGCAGACUGGUGGGCUAUUUUUGGAGCUUGGACCCUGGCAGGGGAUGAUAAAGAUGAUGGAGUAGAAGUGGAUGAGGGAGGAUGUACGCAGGCCAAAUACAGGGAGCCUCUUCCUCGCCAUCGAACACCUCAGGGUAGAGAAAUGAUUGGCUGAGAGUGUGUAAGUGAAGUGAGAUUGUUAUACGAAUCAAAAAGGCGGCUACAACAUUUAUGCUUUCAUUUAAUUUUCAUGUUUGUGUUCUGAUUUUUUCUCCAUAGGUUCAACCUGGGCUCCACUGCUACUUGCUGACUCCACCCCAGUCAGUCUCCACACCUCUCUGCUCAAG